UACGUAGGGUGCAAGCGUUGUCCGGAAUUAUUGGGCGUAAAGAGCUCGUAGGCGGUCUGUCACGUCGGCUGUGAAAACCUGGGGCUCAACUCCGGGCCUGCAGCCGAUACGGGCAGACUAGAGUUCGGCAGGGGAGACCGGAAUUCCUGGUGUAGCGGUGAAAUGCGCAGAUAUCAGGAGGAACACCGGUGGCGAAGGCGGGUCUCUGGGCCGAAACUGACGCUGAGGAGCGAAAGCGUGGGGAGCAAACAGG
rnacentral:rRNA from 1 species